rnacentral:rRNA from 1 species
UGGGGAAUAUUGCACAAUGGGGGAAACCCUGAUGCAGCGACGCCGCGUGAGUGAAGAAGUAUUUCGGUAUGUAAAGCUCUAUCAGCAGGGAAGAUAAUGACAGUACCUGACUAAGAAGCCCCGGCUAACUACGUGCCAGCAGCCGCGGUAAUACGUAGGGGGCAAGCGUUAUCCGGAUUUACUGGGUGUAAAGGGAGCGUAGACGGAGUGGCAAGUCUGAAGUGAAAACCCUAGGCUCAACCUGGGGACUGCUUUGGAAACUGUUAAUCUAGAGUGUUGGAGAGGUAAGUGGAAUUCCUGGUGUAGCGGUGAAAUGCGUAGAUAUCAGGAAGAACACCGGAGGCGAAGGCGGCUUACUGGACAAUAACUGACGUUGAGGCUCGAAAGCGUGGGGAUCAAACAGGAUUAGAUACCCUGGUAGUCCACGCUGUAAACGAUGAAUACUAGGUGUCGGGGAGCAAAGCUUCUCGGUGCCGUCGCAAACGCAAUAAGUAUUCCACCUGGGGAGUACGNUCGCAAGAAUG